AAUAACUUGCAUUGAGCGUGAUCAACACGAGAACCACAUGGAUGUCUACUCACUUAUCAGCGAUCUUCUCGAUGCUGCAGUGGUAUGAGUGAUUCUUUGACCUACGGUGAUAUUGGCUAUUCGCAGCGAAGCUACUGAGUUUGACUGCACGUUUUCUUGAUCCCUAGCCAUUCGGAUCCUUGCUGUGUAUGUUGGCUUCAGUAGGUUCAGAAUCACUGUUUGGAGUAGGAUGCACCUAGAUGAAAUUUAUCGACCUUGGUAGAAAAGGAGAAGUCCUAUGUGAUUUAUGAGAUUGAGUUCAGAAAGUCUUUGGCCA
rnacentral:lncRNA from 1 species